GAAAACCGUUUACUCAGAAACACACAAACUUUCUGUCUCCUCAAACGACCUCAAGCUCUGCAGGCAGUUAGCAGGUUAACUGUUUCAUUAGCAAGUUAAUAUUUAGCACGCUAACCAAUAUCACCUAAACAGUUAGCUAGCAGGAUAAACAUUUAGCUCGCUAGUUAAAUUUUGAUCUAAAUACUUAGUAGCUUGUAAAUAUUUUGCUCUUAAGCUAAAUAUUUAAAACUAACAUUUAUAAGUAAAUGAAUAACAGUGAAAAUAUGACUUAGAAAAAUUAACCCCCAUUUAUUCCUCUGAUGAAAAACGCAAAUUAAUGCUGCUGACAUGUUGCAACGUGACGUCGCGCUCGCAAGAUCCCCAAAAAGCUGCAGGCUGAUGAUGACUAGAUGGUUUCAGCCGUCAAGUUAACAUAACGCGCUUAAUAUUAAAGGUACGCCUGAUAUAUUAAAGAAAAAGGGAUGCCGUGCUUUGCUGCUAAUUGUCAACAUUAUGAAAAAUAGAUAACAAGGUCAAGAAAAAGAUUAAAUUAAGAAAAAACUGUAGGUUAGUUAUGCUAGCUUGACUAUGGCAACAUGGAGUUAUGAUGCUGUUAAUUCUGUGUUUCAGGUAGGGUGACCAGACGUCCUCUUUUUCCGGGACAUGUCCUACUUUUCAGACCUAAAAAAAUGUCCGGGGGGAAUUUCAAAACCCCCCCGGACAUUUUCAAGUAUGUCCGGGGGGAUAUACUUGAAAAUGUCCCCCCCCUCCUCCCCGUUGGCGCAUGUUUGUCCGCCGAUAGUCAGUCAGUUACUAUAGUAACGAGUCUGUGCGUAGCGCAGCUGACAGAGUGGUUUUGAGUUAUUCUUCAACGGUUUUUCAGCAUUAUUUUCCCUUUGCUGUGGCGCGCUGCACUAAAUUAAUACUACAUCUACUCCUCCAGGUUUCACCUUAUUAAGGAAACCGUUCCAGUGCGGCGGCUCGGCUACGGAUAGCUAGUGAAAAAAUUGUCUUCGUGCCCUCCAGCGUUCUGCAACCGGUCAGGCUGAGUCAGACUGGACAGAGUUUGGUGGAUCCUAAUGUUUGACCUGCGGCCGUAGCCCAGCAGGCAGCAGCAGCGGCCUGCAGACUCACCCGG